GGGAUUCCCACAGGACACAGGACACGCACGUUCCUGAACUUAAGCAUGACGCCCAGCACCGGCCUGCGGACCCGGUGGAGACCACAGUUGCUUUAGAGAAGAUCUAUGAAUACCAGGAGCCCUUUGCCCUGAAGAGCACUGGAGAGCAGCAGCUGAGAAAGAGAUCUUGGUCCUCAGAGCCCAGAGCCUCUACUCAUGACUGCGUGAGCAAAAGAACCCUCAACUGAAUUGUUCUGACUUUUGAAAACAAGAUAUAUCAAGUCAGAAAUAACUACAAAAAAAGUGUGGGAUGAGAACAAGAAGCCAAAACCUCCUGUGAGUCGGCACCAUGUGCGGGUUGACUGGGAGAGAGCCAGCCACCAAUACCUUCCAGUGAGCGGGCAGAGAGACAGGAAGAGCCAACGUUUGCCCCACCCCAUAAGUGACAAGCUGAUCUGGAGAAACACAGGCUAUGACGAUACUAAUGAGGUAAAAUAAACUUAAUGCUUGUAGUGUUUGAUGUUUCACUGUC